ACCACAACUUCCUACUCUCUCUCUCUCCAAAAUCGUUCAAGGCCAAACACCCUCAUACUUCACCUUCUUUCAUAAUCCAAACUCAAGAACACAUGCAAAUAUGAAGGUUUAUGAAUAAAACAAGAUAUUUGUGAGAUUAAGGAAUCUAUUCGAAGCAUUUUUGGUGGAACUAGAAGCCCUAGAUCAUCAAGAUUUUUCUUAUCUUCAUCCUUAUUUCCUAGCAAAAAUUGUCGAGAAACGAACCGCGAACAAGGAAUCGAAUAGAGAUUUGCACGGAACGCAAAUCUGAGAUUAGUGGACGGCUUUGGGAAAAUAUGUUCAAGUGGUUAUCAAGAACGCAAGCUUUUGUGAUGUCAUCCGUUUUUAGUGUUAUGUUUUGAACUUUGAAUAAUGUAGUUAAAGUUGGUGUUGUUUCAAGUUUCAAACAAGACAUAUGUAAUGUAAACUAUGGUUUCGAAUCAAUUGUAUGGAUGAACAUCUUUUA